rnacentral:rRNA from 1 species
UUAUUAUAUAAAUUAUUUUUGUUUAUUUAUUUGAUAUUAUUUUUAUUAAAAUUAAUUUAUUGUUUUUGUAUGUGUUAUAGAUUAAAUUCUUUUUAUUGUAGUUAAUUUUUACUGUAUUGGGUAUUUAAAUUAAUUUUUAGAAGUAGAUUUUUUAUUGUACCUUGUGUAUCAGGAUUUAUUAAAUUAUAUUAUUUAUUUUUUGUUUCCCGAUUUUAAAAGAUUUAAAUAAAUAUUUUAGUUAUUGUUUCAUAAAUAUUAAUAAUAUUUAUUUGGUGGUGAUAUGUCAUUCGAUUUUAAUGGUAUCUGGUUUUUCAAGAAAUAAAUUUAAUUUAAAUAUUAAUAUUUAUAUUUCUAUCUUUUUAGUUUUUAUUUUAUUAAUAUUAAUAUUAUGGGGGAUAAGCUCUUUAAUAUAUUUUUAUAAUUUUUAUUGUUAUUUAAUUUAUGUUGGUUUUAUAAUAACUAUCAAUUUAAGUUUGUUAAAAUUUUAUUUUUUUUUGUUUUGAUUUUUAAUUAUUUAAAUAAUUUAUUGAAAUUUGUUAUUUAAUUUUUAUUUAAUUGUAAUUAUGAUGGAAUUAGUAAUUAUUUAUUUUUUCUUAUUUUUGGUUGUUGUUAAUAUUUUAAAAGGAAUUAGGCAAAAUUAAUAUUCUCGCAUGUUUAUCAAAAACAUCUUUUCUUGUAUAUAAAAUAUGAAGUAUGACCUGCCCACUGAUUAAUUAUUAAAGGGCCGCGGUAUUUUGACCGUGCAAAGGUAGCAUAAUCAUUAGUCCUUUAAUUGUGGACUGGAAUGAAUGGUUGGACGAGGAAUAUACUGUUUCUUAUUAUUUUAUUUGAAUUUAAUUUUUGAGUUAAAAGGCUUAAAUUUAUUUAUGGGACGAGAAGACCCUAUAGAGUUUAUACAUAUAUUUAUUUAUUUAUUUUGUUUGAUUAUUAUAUUAUUAUUUAAUAUGUUUUGUUGGGGUGAUAGGAAGAAUUAAUUAACUCUUUUUUAUUUUAUACAUUGAUUUAUGAAAGGUUGAUCCAUUUUUGUUGAUUAUAAGAUUAAAUUACCUUAGGGAUAACAGCGUAAUCUUUUCUGAGAGUUCUUAUCGAUGAAUGGGGUUGCGACCUCGAUGUUGGAUUAAGAUUUAAUUUGGGUGUAGAAUUUCAAUUUGUUUAGGUCUGUUCGACCUUUAAAAUCUUACAUGAUCUGAGUUCAGACCGGCGAGAGCCAGGUUGGUUUCUAUCUAUAAUUACUUAUAUCUUAGUACGAGAGGACCAGAUAUUUAAAAUAAUUUUAUUUGUUUAUUGAUUAUUAUUAAUUUAUUU